GAGAGUAUAGCUCAGUGGUAGAGUGCUUGCUUAGCAUGCAGAAGGUCCUGGGUUCAAUCCUCAGUACCUCCU
rnacentral:tRNA from 1 species